rfam:Parcubacteria bacterium GW2011_GWC1_39_29 TT43_C0004, whole genome shotgun sequence.
GCCCUCGUAGCUCAAUGGAUAGAGCGGCUCCGUCCUAAGGAGAAGAUAUGGGUUCGAUUCCUUUCGAGGGCA